GUAUUCUCGUGGUAUCCAGACUGUUAGAGUUCUUGCUCCAAUGCCAAAGCAUGCUAUGCAGUGGACUCCGGCAUUACCAACAAAGAAAUGGAUAGUGAUCACAUUGCGUUGGCUUCUGAAGUAGCAGUUGUAAAAGAUUGAAAAAUCAUAUUCAUAAUGCUGCUCUUUGGCCGCAAGAUAACUUACGCCGCUUGUCAACUACUAAAAAGGUUUAGAGAUGCCCAUCAGGCCCCUUGAUAUUCAUCUAUGUAGCAUCUUCCAAUGUAAGGCGUCUCGUGGAAAGUCCACAGGUUUUCUUCAAACAAAUAACUUAAUUAUUCAAUCUCUCAUACCAUUUUUUUUUUGUACAUGUUAUGUUGCUUUUGUUAUAAAUUGAAAUUUUGAUCAACAUAGAAUUACAUAUCAUUGUUGCAGAACAGCUGUUAUCUUAUAGUGGGCGCAAAAAUUUGAUCAUUAUUGGUUUAUAAUACCCUGAGGCUGCUCUUGACAUCCAUUAUAUGAAUUUAAGAAGUUGGUUUGGCUAGAUAUAAAGAUUUGAUGAUUGAAUACUGUUAUGAUUUUUAUCUUUUCAACAGUUUCCCACUUACUUUUGAACCCAAAAAGGUACCAUUUUCAGGAUCUUCACAAUUAGAUGUUGUUUAACACGGGCCAUAUGACAGGUUGUAAGGGCCAGACACGGUGAAAUCUAGAAACAUGUGAUUCAACAUGAACAACUUUUCUUCUGAAUUGGUCCAAUUUCAACUGCGAAAAACUUUUUGUUUGGUUUCAUUUCGGGAUGGAACCGAGCCGACUCCGUGUUCAACUCGCACAAAGCCUGAAUCAGCUUGAUUUCGUCAAGUCAUCAGAAAGUUGCCGACAGAUCCAUCUUCUCCAGUGGCUUCCAGGCAGCUCGUCCGGCAACUCAUCAUCAACUUGACCUAACCCUUAAUCAGGUUUGAUUCACUUCGAAUUCACCUGUAGUUUGAUUGACAUUUCACCUCUUCAAUGUCACCAACAGCUCUUCUCUUUCUCAAAUUUAUUUUACUGGGCUAUCUAACAACUGAAACUCAUUAUUUCCAUCAUCUCUUCCUCAGUAUUUUCUCUUCUAUUUUCUGUUUGGAUUUUGUGUUUAAUGCCACAGUAUUCUUGUCACAUAUUGCGGAUGUUACGCGAGCCCACAUGAGGUUUCAUACGUGGCCACGAAACUCUCUGCUGUGCCCUCCUUUGCCUUUGAAGUCACAUGCGCUUGAAUAGAAAAAUCCUUGGAAAGUCUACGCAAGAUUGUUUUAACAAAGUCCAUCCUUGCCAUAUCCAUUGAACAUUUGUGAGUGGAUUGCUUAAAACCUAUUCGGUUGGAGUCAUAUAACAUAGAUUUAACAAACAAAAGUAAUAUAUGUAAAAUGAAGAAUGGAGAACAAACA